CGAACGCUGGCGGCGUGCUUAACACAUGCAAGUCGAACGAGAAAGGAUUCUUCGGAAUCCGAGUAAAGUGGCGCACGGGUGAGUAACGCGUAGAUAAUCUAUCUUUAUGUUUGGGAUAACCCUUCGAAAGGGGGACUAAUACCGGAUAUAUUUGUACCUGUUGGGGUAUAAAGGAAAGGUGGCCUCUAUUUAUAAGCUAUCGCAUGAAGAGGAGUCUGCGUACCAUUAGCUAGUUGGUGGGGUAAUGGCCUACCAAGGCAACGAUGGUUAGCGGGUCUGAGAGGAUGAUCCGUCACACUGGCACUGAAACACGGGCCAGACUCCUACGGGAGGCAGCAGUGAGGAAUAUUGCGCAAUGGGGGAAACCCUGACGCAGCGACGCCGCGUGAGUGAGGAAGGCCUUCGGGUCGUAAAGCUCUGUCAGAUGGGAAGAAGUGUUAUAUGGUUAAUACCCGUAUAAUUUGACGGUACCAUCAAAGGAAGCACCGGCUAACUCC
rnacentral:rRNA from 1 species